UUGCACUCUCAAUUGUUGGUACCCACUAAUUAAAUUCAAUAGUGGUAUCAUUUGAGCAAAAGGUGCAUAAAUAAAAUGCUGAUUUUGUUGUUUUUGAUUUCCAAAUCAACAAAAACAGCAGCGGCCAGACAACCGUAGAGAUGGAUCCACAGAUGGGGUGGCUCAUUAUUGCUCCUUGUCUACUAAUUCCCUCUCACAUUU
rfam:Beta vulgaris subsp. vulgaris chromosome 2, whole genome shotgun sequence.